rnacentral:lncRNA from 1 species
GUUAGUUCAGCCUGAACAAAACCAUGCCUUAAAAAAAGUUAUAAAAACUGAUAGAAAAAUUAUAAUAAAUUUAGAUCAUAAAAUAAGUUCCUUGGAAAAAUCUUGUCAAUAUGGAAAUAAAGUUGUAACAAUACUUAACAUAAAAGCUGAAGGAUUAAAUAAUAUGGCCAUAAAAGAAAAAUUAAAAUUAAUAAUUGAUACACUCAUGGAUAAUUUCUCCACGUAUUGUGACGACAACACCAGAAAUGACGACACCAGAAAUGACGUCAUCAUAAGUGACGACAAAAAUGACGACAAAAAUGAUGACACCAGAAAUAACAACAAAUGUAGUAACAAUGGUAACUGCCAUAGUAAAAAUAACAAUGAGUUGAAUACCACUACAAAUAAAAAAAGAAUCAUUAAUUUUUCCAGCAUAUCACAAUACUUUGACUUAAAGUGCUUACCAUAUUGUACGUUAAACUAUGAUACUAUUCCCAUGCAUUUUUUUAUUAAUAAUAAUAAAAAUUUAUUAAUUGAGUCAUGUACCUCUAAUAAAAAAAAAAAUGCAAGUAGUAAAACAAAAAGAUUUAAUAACAUUUAUAAAAAGUUAAAAGAUUAUAAUUAUGAUGAAGAACCCGAAAUAAAAUUAGAAUCAUAUGAACAAUCCAUGAAAUUAAAAGAUAAAUUGUCAGAACUCGAACAAAACCAAGAAAAAAAAAACAUAAAGUUUUUUCCGUUUAUAGUAGACACAGAACCAACAAACGGAUUUAACGAAACCACGUUCAGAUUAUUUUUAAUCUCUCUAUUAGUUUCUAAAGGUUAUGUUGAAUUUUUUAAGGAUGAUGAUAAUGUUUUAUGCAUCAAAUCAUCCGAUCAUUAUAAAGAUAAUGAAAUAACCCAACAAGAACAAGAGCAGGAACAAGAACAAGAACAGGAACACGAACAAGAACAAGAACACGAACAAGAACACGAAACUGAUAGAAAUGUAAAACGAAAAAACCAAGCCUUACUCACCUCUUGGUCCUAUAAAAAAUGGAAAAAAUUAGUUAAACAGAUAACAAAUGAGUCAUAAAAAGAUAAAAAAAAUAAAAAAAAAUAAAAAAAAAAUGAACA